rnacentral:lncRNA from 10 species
GUGCAGCCCCCCAGGUUCAAACAAUUCUCCUACCUCAGCCUCCUGGAAAAACCACCUACAAGGACUCCUCAAACUCACAAUAAACAUAGACUGUUCUCAUAGGACUCAGACUCUCUUGGACAGAAAUCUUCGUCCCCGUGAAAUGCUGCCAUGUCCCGAGAGACAAGAAAAGAUGCUGUGAAUGUCACGUAUGCUUCCUGGCUACACUCAAGUUCUCAAGGAAUGGAUGUGCCUGAUCCCCUGUCUUACCAGAUAAGGGCCCUCACUGAGGAUGCUCUAGGAACCCACAAGGUGAAGAAGAGGUGCCCCUUCCUUGAAGACUCAGCUGGCAGAGAGGAGAAGCAGCGGGACAUCAGGACUAUGGCUGGACGUCAGAGAGAAGCAGCUUAACUUCAGAGGUGCAGCUUGAUGGUGUAACUUAGGAGAAGAAUCUGACUGGAGACGGCCAGACUUCAGAAGAAGAUGACCUACCCCCCCAUCCCCUUUUCAGCUUCCCUUCCCGCUGAGAGCCACUUUUAUUGGCAAUAAAAUCCUCCACAUUUACCACCUUUCAAUGUGUUCAUGUGACUUCAUUAUUCCUGGACACCGGACAAGAGCUCAGGGGCCACAGGUGUGGAUAUGAAA